rnacentral:tRNA from 1 species
GCACUGAUGGUUCAGUGGUAGAAUUCUCGCCUUCUGUGCCGGAGACCUAGGUUCAUUUCCCAGCCAGUGUA